AGUCCACAUGAUUUGCAUACCUGAGGAACACAGUCCACUGAACUAUGCCUUCUUAUUAGACAAUCUGCACGCUUUGGUAUUCAGUCUCAGACAGGACACAGGCCAGUCAUGAUGGCACCAGUUCAACUCUUAGUGCUGCUGCUGCUCUGGCUCCCAGCCAUGAGAUGUAACAUCCAGCUGACCCAGUCUCCUUCACUCCUGUCUGCAUCUGUGGGAGACAGAGUCACUCUUAGCUGCAAAGGAAGUCAGAAUAUUAACAAUUACUUAGCCUGGUACCAACAAAAGCUUGGAGAAGCUCCCAAACUCCUGAUAUAUAAUACAAACAGUUUGCAAACGGGCAUCCCAUCAAGGUUCAGUGGCAGUGGAUCUGGUACAGAUUACACACUCACCAUCAGCAGCCUGCAGCCUGAAGAUGUUGCCACAUAUUUCUGCUAUCAGUAUAACAACGGGUACCACUGUGAUACAAACCAUAACAUAAACCACCCAGAGAUGCAGAUGUGUGAGCUUGGGUUUUCACAGCUGUUCUUUUGGUUCUUUCUAUUACUGACAUAAUGUCUCAGAUGUAGGCAGGCUUUGAAGAAUUUGAAUGGUUUGUGCAUCAGAGGCCCAUGAGAUUGCUCUGUACUGGGUAUGGUUCAGCAGUACAAAAUUUACUUACGAUCUGUAGACUUCAUGAACUGUUGUGGUCAUUUUACUUGAGGAAUCUAAGUGAUAUUCUCAGAUGAAAUUGUUAUAUAGCAAAACAAAUGUCAAUGUAGAUGAUCCAAACAAUGUUUGGUGUUAGAAACACAAUUUGAGUCUACCGAGAAGCUGUUGAAUGGCUUUUGGAAGGUGCAAAGUAUGUGUUGAAGCUUAAGACAGACAGAGUUCUGCUGUUCAUUUUGAAAUCAAAUCUAAGUUGCAUGAAAAGAUCUGAAGUGUAAAUAUGUGGUUCCAAAACCUCUUCCCAAGCAUCAGUAUUAUGGUAAUGAUGGUCCCAAUGGUCUUUAUGAAUUCUUGCCUAUAUGUAAAUUUUACUCUAUGCAAGCACCUGCCUGUAGUAAUGAAAGAAUUUUGCAACCAUAUUUGUCCUCUAUAAGACUUGUUCCAUAUUUUACAAUUAAAAAAUGCUCUCCCAUUUGAGUAGAUCCAUUAGAAAUAUUUAUGUGUUUGGUGAAAUAAUUUUUACUUGUAAAUUUUCUGUUGUAUUUUAACACCAAUUCUUUGUUUAAAGAUUUUAAUAAACACAUGUACUGGA